ensembl:lncRNA
GGUCCCUUCAACCCAAACUCUUCUCUGAUUCUAUGAAUUUAAGCAUUGGUUCCAUUGGUUUCUGCUCUGACAAUUCCCAGGCCAAGCACACACAAAGUAAAACUCCAAGAACUAAAGGAACAGGACACAAUCCCAGCAAAUGAAGUCUCACACUGCUACUGAAGUGUUGGCACAUCCAAAACCUCUCCGUGAUCCACACGGCAUUACCAUUUGGUGUGAUUUGGCAUGAAUGGCUAUUCAUUAACUCAGCUGCAGCUCAGUGAAAAAGAGGACAUGGCAUGAGCAGGAGCAGCAGCAGAUUGGCUCUAACAGUUGGAAUUCAGAGGCAGGCCUGGAGCCCUGGAAAAGGGGAUGCUCCGGGUGCUGGGCAGGAGGCUCCGGCCUCUCCCGAGCAGGGAUCUGGCUCCUGGGACUUGUUCCCUGCAGCUCCCGGCUCAGAACAUUGCCCGGCACAAAGCCCCGGCUUCAGUAAUGCCGGAUCCUGCAGAGCCCGGCGCUGCUCUCCCCUCCCCUGGCAGCUCCCAUGUACCACAGGUGGUUUAGCUUUCUCUUUAGGUGUCUCAAAAUGAGCUUCAGCUCUCAGCUUAAGGAACCAGAGAGUUUCAGGCCAAGCUUUACAAAAUGAUGCCUCAUAUCCCAGGAGAAGGGAUGUGGCCAGUGCUGCAGCUCUUGGGACUGAGACAGGCAUCUGGCCUGGCUCAGCACCAGUGUGGCAGCAGGGCCAGGGCAGUGAUUGUCCCCCUGCGCUGGGCACUGGUGAGGCUGCACCUCAAAUCUUGUGUCAGUUCUGGGCUCCUCACUCCAAGAGUGACAUUGAGGUGCUGGAGCAGGGCCAGAGAAGGGCACCGGAGCUGGUGCAGGGCCUGGAGCAUGAGUGAGUUAAAAGUUCCUUACACCAAGCAUGGUAAAACACUGGCACAGGCUGCCCAAAGAGGUGGUGGAUGCUCCAUCCCUGGAGACAGCCAAGGCCAGGCUGGAUAUGGUUCUGAGCAACCUGCUCUAGUUGGAGAUGUCCCUGCCCAUUGCAGGGCUUGGACUGGAUGAGCUUUGGGGGUUCCUUCCAACCCAAACUGCUCUGUGAGUCUGUGAACUGAUCAACCAGCAGGAGAUGCUGAUGCCAUCACCAGGGCACUGGGGCCAUGCUCAGCUGAUCCAGUAACAGUGGGGAAGGAGGGAGUGAAACCCCCAAGUAGCCAAAACUAGCUCGACCCGACUCUUGCCCGGGUGGUUCAGCUCCAGCACAUCACCCAUGGGUGGCAUUCAGACAGCAUGCUGAGCACACAGACCCCUCAGAAGCUCCUGAGGUCCUGCAGGUUCUGCUGCCCAAGACCUGUGCACGCAUCCAGAGCCAGUGCCCAGUGACUGGAGACACCGGGGUUCAUUUAACACCUUCGGUUCUGUCUCGUGCUGAUACCCCACAGUUAGAGCUCAGCCAAAGCUCCCUUGAGGAUUGUUUCCUACUUACUGAGCAGGAUGUGAAAGCAAAUCUCUCCUCUCUGCUUGGCUUCUGCCGCUCGGGCUGCCUCUAACAAAGGUCCCUCAGGUUCCUCCCUUCAGCUGAAACAGCAACAAAAGGAUUUGCAUAAGAAAAA